CCCGCACAAGCGGUGGAGCAUGUGGUUUAAUUCGACGCAACGCGAAGAACCUUACCAGGGCUUGACAUCCCCUGACCGUCUAUGAAAGUAGGCUUUCUACCUUCGGGUAGACAGGGAGACAGGUGGUGCAUGGUUGUCGUCAGCUCGUGUCGUGAGAUGUUGGGUUAAGUCCCGCAACGAGCGCAACCCCUACGGUUAGUUGCUAACGGGUAAGGCCGAGCACUUUAGCCGAACUGCCGUUGACAAAACGGAGGAAGGCGGGGAUGACGUCAAAUCAUCAUGCCCUUUAUGUCCUGGGCUACACACGUGCUACAAUGGCCUGUACAAAGGGCAGCAAAGGGGCGACCCGGAGCAAAUCCCAAAAAACAGGUCUCAGUUCGGAUUGCAGGCUGCAACCUCGCCUGCAUGAAGGCGGAAUCGCUAGUAAUCGCAGGUCAGCAUACUGCGGUGAAUACGUUCCCGGGCCUU
rnacentral:rRNA from 1 species